rnacentral:rRNA from 1 species
AUUGAACGCUGGCGGCAGGCCUAACACAUGCAAGUCGAACGGUAACAGGAAGCAGCUUGCUGCUUCGCUGACGAGUGGCGGACGGGUGAGUAAUGUCUGGGAAGCUGCCUGAUGGAGGGGGAUAACUACUGGAAACGGUAGCUAAUACCGCAUACUGUCGCAAGACCAAAGAGGGGGACCUUCGGGCCUCUUGCCAUCGGCUGUGCCCCGAUGGGCUUGGCUUGUUGGUGGGGUAACGGCUCACCAAGGCGACGAUCCCUAGCUGGUCUGAGAGGAUGACCCGCCACACUGGGACUGAGACACGGUCCAGACUCCUACGGGAGGCAGCAGUGGGGAAUAUUGCACAAUGGGCGCAAGCCUGAUGCAGCCAUGCCGCGUGUAUGAAGAAGGCCUUCGGGUUGUAGAGUACUUUCAGCGGGGAGGAAGGGAGUAAAGUUAAUACCUUUGCUCAUUGACGUUACCCGCAGAAGAAGCACCGGCUAACUCCGUG